rnacentral:lncRNA from 1 species
GCCAUUUUUGCAGGAGUGUGCCAAAUGAUUUCUUGAUGUGCCGGGGUCGACUCAAACAAUCUUUGGGUCGACUCAAUCCACACUUUGCUGCAUUCUCAAGGUUAGAUUCAUUCAAAUGAACAAAGCAUGUAUCUAUUAUCAAUCACACAAAUAUACUGAGAGUAAUGAACUUAUAAAUGAAGUAUCAAUUUAACUUAUAACAUACUCUAG